GGGCAUUAUCUAAGCCUUUUAGCGGCGUUGCGAAAGCAAACAUUUUUAUGGCAGAUCCGAUUUAAAGUUUUUCCUAAAUGAUUUAUGAAGUUGGCGCAUGCCGGGGGCCCGUCCAUGGCGUCUCUAUCAUCCCCGCACCUCGCUUGCAUUUCGGUGUUUGCUUGAUGGAGCGGGGCUCUGGGGAGUCGUCGGGCGGUCACUUUGAGCGUAGGAGUUAGUACCCGAAAGAUGGUGAUCUAUGCUUGAUUAGGACGAAGCCAGGGGAAACCCCGGUGGAGGUUCGUAGCGAUUCUGACGUGCAAAUCGAUCGUAGAAGUUGAGUAUAGGGGCGAAAGACCAAUCGAACCGUCUAGUAGCUGGUUCCCUCCGAAGUUUCCCUCAGGAUAGCUGGCAUUUAUGUCGAAAGUUUCAUCCGAUAAAGAGAAUGACUAGAGGUUUUUGGGGAUGAAACUUCCUCAGCCCAUUCUCAAACUCUAAAUGGGUGAGAAGUAAAGCUUGCGUGCAUGAAGCUAUUACAUUGAAUUCGAAUGCCUAGUGGGCCUAUUUUGGUAAGCAGAACUGGCGCUGUGGGAUGAACCAAACGACGGGUUAAGGGGCCUAAAUAUCGGUUAAUAAGGAGACAUUUAAAGGCGUUGGUCGCUCAAGACAGC
rnacentral:rRNA from 1 species